CUCCGGGGCCAGACUUAUAGCUCAGGGCGUAAUGCAGCCUACCCGGACCGAGGAACGCGCUUCGGCUCGGAUGCUGGCGUAAUGGUUGUAAGCGGCCCGUCUUGAAACACGGACCAAGGAGUCUAACAUCUAUGCGAGUGUUAGGGUGUCAAACCCUUGCGCGGAAUGAAAGUGAACGGAGGUAAGAACCCUCAAGGGCGCAUUAUCGACCGAUCCUGAUGUCUUCGGAUGGAUUUGAGUAAGAGCAUAGCUGUUGGGACCCGAAAGAUGGUGAACUAUGCCUGAAUAGGGUGAAGCCAGAGGAAACUCUGGUGGAGGCUCGCAGCGGUUCUGACGUGCAAAUCGAUCGUCAAAUUUGGGUAUAGGGGCGAAAGACUAAUCGAACCAUCCGCAUGGCUUUCUCGAUACGACGGUACGGAAAUCAUCGGCCUUUGCUUUGAUUAAGUUCGGGCAGCUGAAGCGAUUUUUGGCAACUGUGUCGAGACUACAGCGAGUAUACUUAUCAGCCCUUGAUGUUCUAUGGACAUUGGUAAGAAGAGGGGCAGCAUCAAUACCGUUGUUACCAGGUGGCUCUAGGGUCGACCAGCUAAAAAUGUUAGUUGGUAAAGUCUGCUGUUUUGCGGUGGGCGACGCUACUAGUUCCGGGGGAGCUUUAGGUCGUUUAUUCGACUCGGUAAUCCUGAGCUUACUGUUUCAAUGGCGGUAAGUGCACAGACUAAACCGUGGCGGCUGAUUAUUGUGUCAGUUAUAAUAUAGUCGGGUUAAACUUGUAUGUGGGUCUCGGUGGCUAUAUACGUCGUGUGG
rnacentral:rRNA from 1 species